ACAGCUGACCCUAGCCUCCACCUUCACUGUCACGCUGCUCUUUGGCUCCGACCCUCCUGCCACCCCUUGUGAAUAUUCAGGUGCCAGGGCCCUCUCCAUCUCAACAUCUCUACUCACCCUGCAAAGCCCCUUGAGCCACAGGAGGUCACAUGUCCACAGCUUCCAGGGACAAGGGUGUGGACAUUUUGGAGGAGCCAUGAUGCUGCCUCCCACACCUCCGUUCGAACAUUAUCACAGCCCAGACAGAUUCUCCUGCAGCCUGGGGCCUGGAAUGCAAAGGCCACUGGGGCCAAAUCAGCUGCACGGAGCUGAGCCAGCAGAGCCGCAGGCAGCAGCCGCCCUGUGAGCAGCUGGGAACCACUGAGAAGUGGAGAUGUUUGUCAUAGCAGCAGCAGCUGGCAGAUACUUGCUAUCCACACACCCUGGGCACACAUGGGCACCAAGGCUGGGGGCGACAGAACUUUACACUGUGGGAUUCUCUCCUGACAGCCAAGAAGGGGGUUUUCCCUUCUACCAUGAAGAACUUCCCCGGAGGUCUCCCCACAUCUAAUAAUUAGGAAGAUAACGUGGUCAUCAACAAUAAAAGCUGCCCAGGCAGGCGCCUGCA
rnacentral:lncRNA from 10 species